ACGAACGCUGGCGGCGUGCCUAAUACAUGCAAGUCGAGCGGACCGACGGGAGCUUGCUCCCUUAGGUCAGCGGCGGACGGGUGAGUAACACGUGGGUAACCUGCCUGUAAGACUGGGAUAACUCCGGGAAACCGGGGCUAAUACCGGAUGCUUGAUUGAGCCGCAUGGUUCAAUUAUAAAAGGUGGCUUUCAGCUACCACUUACAGAUGGACCCGCGGCGCAUUAGCUAGUUGGUGAGGUAACGGCUCACCAAGGCGACGAUGCGUAGCCGACCUGAGAGGGUGAUCGGCCACACUGGGACUGAGACACGGCCCAGACUCCUACGGGAGGCAGCAGUAGGGAAUCUUCCGCAAUGGACGAAAGUCUGACGGAGCAACGCCGCGUGAGUGAUGAAGGUUUUCGGAUCGUAAAACUCUGUUGUUAGGGAAGAACAAGUACCGUUCGAAUAGGGCGGCACCUUGACGGUACCUAACUAGAAAGCCACGGCUAACUACGUGCCAGCAGCCGCGGUAAUACGUAGGUGGCAAGCGUUGUCCGGAAUUAUUGGGCGUAAAGCGCGCGCAGGCGGUUUCUUAAGUCUGAUGUGAAAGCCCCCGGCUCAACCGGGGAGGGUCAUUGGAAACUGGGGAACUUGAGUGCAGAAGAGGAGAGUGGAAUUCCACGUGUAGCGGUGAAAUGCGUAGAGAUGUGGAGGAACACCAGUGGCGAAGGCGACUCUCUGG
rnacentral:rRNA from 1 species